rnacentral:rRNA from 1 species
UGCAGUCGAACGGCAGCACGGGGCAACCUGGUGGCGAGUGGCGAACGGGUGAGUAAUAUAUCGGAACGUACCCUGGAGUGGGGGAUAACGUAGCGAAAGUUACGCUAAUACCGCAUACGAUCUAAGGAUGAAAGUGGGGGAUCGCAAGACCUCAUGCUCCUGGAGCGGCCGAUAUCUGAUUAGCUAGUUGGUGGGGUAAAGGCCCACCAAGGCUUCGAUCAGUAGCUGGUCUGAGAGGACGACCAGCCACACUGGAACUGAGACACGGUCCAGACUCCUACGGGAGGCAGCAGUGGGGAAUUUUGGACAAUGGGCGCAAGCCUGAUCCAGCAAUGCCGCGUGAGUGAAGAAGGCCUUCGGGUUGUAAAGCUCUUUUGUCAGGGAAGAAACGGUGAAGGCUAAUAUCCUUUGCUAAUGACGGUACCUGAAGAAUAAGCACCGGCUAACUACGUGCCAGCAGCCGCGGUAAUACGUAGGGUGCAAGCGUUAAUCGGAAUUACUGGGCGUAAAGCGUGCGCAGGCGGUUUUGUAAGUUUGUCGUGAAAGCCCCGGGCUCAACCUGGGAAUUGCGAUGAAGACUGCAAGGCUUGAAUCUGGCAGAGGGGGGUAGAAUUCCACGUGUAGCAGUGAAAUGCGUAGAGAUGUGGAGGAACACCGAUGGCGAAGGCAGCCCCCUGGGUCAAGAUUGACGCUCAUGCACGAAAGCGUGGGGAGCAAACAGGAUUAGAUACCCUGGUAGUCCACGCCCUAAACGAUGUCUACUAGUUGUCGGGUUUUAAUUAACUUGGUAACGCAGCUAACGCGUGAAGUAGACCGCCUGGGGAGUACGGUCGCAAGAUUAAAACUCAAAGGAAUUGACGGGGACCCGCACAAGCGGUGGAUGAUGUGGAUUAAUUCGAUGCAACGCGAAAAACCUUACCUACCCUUGACAUGUACGGAAGGCCGGAGAGAUCUGGCUGUGCUCGAAAGAGAGCCGUAACACAGGUGCUGCAUGGCUGUCGUCAGCUCGUGUCGUGAGAUGUUGGGUUAAGUCCCGCAACGAGGGCAACCCUUUGUCAUUAGUUGCUACGAAAGG